GACUCCCGAACGGGGCUGAGCACGUGAGCCGCUAAAACUGCGUGUGGGGGAGCUAGCUCCCCAUCUCAUCCCGUCACAUCGUGGAGGAAGGGGCGUCUGCAACAGGGGCCCUAAGGCUGGGGAAGGAGGAGAUGCCUUUUGCUUCUGGAGGACGGGUGCCAUGCUCAGAGCAGCCCAACCAUGACUCACACAUCCAAAUGAGGCUGCUGCCUUAUAAGGAGGCACUUUGAAGGCUAUUAUUCCAAGGAGCCUGCCACCUCCCGAAGCAUUUUUAGAGCUCCUGCUUUGAAUCACUACCAGUGUCAAGAUGGUGAAUCCUCACACCUCCUGGGAGCAGUUAUUUUUGGAAACAAUGAAAGUCAGGAAAGUAUCCUUGGGAACAGAGGUGGUGCUGUGCAGAGGCGAGCCUUCAGGGUUUCAAGUGCUUGGACCUCGCCCAGCUCUGGCCGGGUGCCGGGAAUUGAGAUGGUGUCAGGUGACAAGAGGCCACGUUCCCCGCAGCUGGCCUCCUCCUCAGGCUGUGAUGAAGGGGUCAGAAUACCUGCAACGGCCACACAACCACGAUGACCGCAGACUCCCCAGCAACCACAAUUGCAGCCACCACACCGUAGGGCCGUAUGACCAACAUCAGCAAUCGCUACGGUAAACUGCAGCAAGCACACAAGCACACAACAGCAGUCGCAACCACACCAUCUGCGCGACCACACAACACCCACACAAGCACCGUGACCUGCAGCAACCACUGCGUCAGUGGCCAUUUAUCAACUCUGUCUCAUGUUCCGACUUGAGACCCGGAAAGGGAGGUCUGCCAUGCCUCCCGAGACAGAUCAGCGGAGCCCUGGGAGGCUUCUCGGACCUUUGGGUGGGAAUGAGCCGGUGGGAACUUGGAUCAGGUGCAGUACGAGGGACGUACAAGCUGCACCCACUGCGGAAGUUCUUCAGAGGACGAUGCUGACCUUACCAGCGUGUGGUAAAACAAGGUCUGUUCACAGGUCAGGGACACAGAGUGAUCAAAACAGAGUGCCCUUCAAACAAACACUUGCAUGCAAAUAUUCAUUGCAACAUCACUUAAAAUAGUGGAAGUUACAAACGACCCAAACGUCCAUCAGCUGGCCAAUGGCUAAAGAAAACGUGGCAUAUCCAUACGUGGAGUAGUAUCCAGCCAUAAAAGAAACAGAAUAGUGCUUUGAUCUACAACACGCAUGGGCCUCGAAAACAUUAUGGUAAGUGAAAGAAGUCAGACACAAAAAGCCACAUGUGGUAUGAUCCCGUUUAUAUGAAAUGUCCACAGUCCACGGAGACAGAAAGCACAUUAGUGAUUGCCAGGGGCUGUGUGUGGGAGGAACGGACAGUGACUGGUUAAUGGGUCCAGAGUUUCCUCUCGAGGUGAUGAGAAUGUUCUGAAACUCGGUGGUGGUGAUGGUUGUACAAUCUUGUAAAAGUAUGAAAUGUCAUGGAAUUGUACACCUUAAAUGGUAGAUUUUAUGUUAUUUUACCACAGGUAUACAUGAAACCCAGAGUUCCUGCCCCUGCAUUCAAGUGAGAGGAGACAGAUGAUUAACAAAUAAAUAUAUAUUUAAGGUAAGUGCUAUGAAGACA
rnacentral:lncRNA from 1 species